rnacentral:rRNA from 1 species
GAUGAACGCUAGCGGCAGGCCUAACACAUGCAAGUCGAGGGGUAGAAGGAGCUUGCUCCUUUGAGACCGGCGCACGGGUGAGUAACGCGUAUGCAAUCUACCUUGUACAGGGGAAUAGCCCCGAGAAAUUUGGAUUAAUGCCCCAUAGUAUAUAACCUUCGCAUGUUGGUUAUAUUAAAGUUCCAACGGUACAAGAUGAGCAUGCGUCCCAUUAGUUAGUUGGUAAGGUAACGGCUUACCAAGACGAUGAUGGGUAGGGGUCCUGAGAGGGAGAUCCCCCACACUGGUACUGAGACACGGACCAGACUCCUACGGGAGGCAGCAGUGCGGAAUAUUGGUCAAUGGUCGCAAGACUGAACCAGCCAUGCCGCGUGCAGGAAGACGGUCCUAUGGAUUGUAACCUGCUUUUAUACAGGAAGAAACCCUCCCACGUGUGGGAGCUUGACGGUACUGUAGGAAUAAGGAUCGGCUAACUCCGUG